ACGAACGCUGGCGGCGUGCUUAACCCAUGCAAGUCGAACGGAAAGGCCCUGCUUUUGUGGGGUGCUCGAGUGGCGAACGGGUGAGUAACACGUGAGUAACCUGCCCUUGACUUUGGGAUAACUUCAGGAAACUGGGGCUAAUACCGGAUAGGAGCUCCUGCUGCAUGGUGGGGGUUGGAAAGUUUCGGCGGUUGGGGAUGGACUCGCGGCUUAUCAGCUUGUUGGUGGGGUAGUGGCUUACCAAGGCUUUGACGGGUAGCCGGCCUGAGAGGGUGACCGGCCACAUUGGGACUGAGAUACGGCACAGACUCCUACGGGAGGCAGCAGUGGGGAAUAUUGCACAAUGGGCGGAAGCCUGAUGCAGCAACGCCGCGUGCGGGAUGACGGCCUUCGGGUUGUAAACCGCUUUCGCCUGUGACGAAGCGUGAGUGACGGUAAUGGGUAAAGAAGCACCGGCUAACUACGUG
rnacentral:rRNA from 1 species